rnacentral:rRNA from 1 species
AUGCCGGUCUACCGCAUCCGCGGCGUGGACGUCGACUUCCCCUACGAUGCCUACGAUUGCCAGAUCACCUACAUGGACCGCGUUCUCCAGUCACUGCAACAGGGUAAUAACGCGCUGCUCGAGAGCCCGACGGGGACGGGGAAGACGCUCUGCCUGCUCUGCUCCACGCUCGCUUGGCGGCGCACCUUCGGGGAGUUUCUGCGGGGCGGUGGCGGCGGUGGGGGCGGGGGAGGCAGCCAGCCAUCAGGGAGCCAGCAGUCUGGGGCAUCCGCGACCCAGUCAUCGUCGUACCCCGUGAUUAUCUAUGCCUCCCGGACGCAUAGCCAGCUCCGGCAGGUGAUCAAGGAGCUCAAGGCCACCAGCUACAGGCCGAAAAUGGCAGUGCUGGGCUCCCGUGAGCAGAUGUGCAUCCAUGAAGAAGUGAGCAAACUCCAGGGAAAAGCACAGAACAAUGGUUGCCACUACCUCUGCAAGAAGCGCUUGUGCCGUCAUAACAACAUUGUCACUGAUUACAUGAAAAACAACACCGAGAUUGGGAGUGAGCCUUUUGACAUUGAAGACUUGGUUAAUAUUGGGAGAACCAAGGGACCUUGCCCAUAUUACAUUUCCCGGGAGCUUUCCAAGUCGGUUGAUAUUUUAUUUGCUCCUUAUAACUAUCUCAUUGAUCCGGGAAAUCGGCGUUCCUUAACUGGCAUAUCAUGGGACAAUGCAGUACUUAUAUUUGAUGAGGCACACAAUCUGGAGAGUAUAUGUGCAGAUGCUGCCUCUUUUGACUUGCUUACCAGCAACCUCACUUCUUGCAUCACGGAAGCUCAAGAAUGCAUCCAAUUGUGUUCAUUCAAGAGGUCCAUUGAAAACUCUGCUGAAAAACAAUUUGACCCAGAAAACUAUGCUAUCCUCAAAGCUCUUUUAAUGGCACUUGAAAAAAAAAUCGGUGAGCUUGUAAUUGAUUCCAAGGAGCUGGGUUACACAAAGCCUGGGAGUUACAUAUACGAGUUCCUCUCUGAACUGAAUAUUACGUCUGAAACAUCCAAAAAGCUUAUUGAGAUUAUCGAUAGUGCUUCUCUACUGCUCGAGGAAGGAAAUUCUGGUGAAACUAAAGCUGGUGUUAAGGCAAAAUCUACUGUGUCUAGAUUGGAAACAAUUAGAGAUAUGCUUGACAUAAUAUUUAAGGGUGGUGGUCAAAACCAUGCGAAGUAUUAUAGUUUUCAUGUGAAUGAAUCAUCUCGACAGACAUCUGGUGACUCAUUGCAAGUUUUCGGUAAGGCUUCAAGGACUCUUAGUUGGUGGUGUUUUAACCCAGGGCUUGCUAUGGAGGAAUUUCUGAAGUUGGGUGUACGCUCCAUUAUUUUAACUUCUGGAACUUUAUCUCCCUUAGACUCGCUUGCCAUGGAAUUAAACCUUGAGUUCCCUGUCAGGCUAGAGAAUCCUCAUGUCAUUUCUCAAGAUCAAAUCUGGGUUGGAGUUGUGCCUGUGGGGCCAUCAGGACACCCACUUAAUUCUUCUUAUCGGACACGUGAGACUGUAAAAUACAAACAAGAAUUGGGCACUGUUAUAGUUAAUUUUGCCCGUAUUGUGCCAGAUGGUCUCCUUGUUUUCUUUCCUUCAUAUUCUAUGAUGGACAAGUGUAUCGACUACUGGAAAAAUAGGAACCAUGAACAUUCAGUGGAUGAUAGCACAAUAUGGCAGAGAAUGUGCAAGCAUAAGCAGCCAGUUAUAGAGCCUAGGCAGUCUUCAAACUUCCCAAAUGCAAUUGAGGAUUAUGAGGCCAAAUUACGCGAUCCUUCUACUUUUGGGGCAAUUUUUUUCGCAGUUUGUCGCGGCAAAGUUAGUGAGGGUCUUGAUUUUGCUGACCGUGCUGGGAGAGCUGUAAUAGUUACUGGAAUGCCCUUCUCCACCCCGACUGAUCCUAAGGUUCGGCUCAAGCGUGAGUAUUUGGAUAAGCAGGCUAAACCAUCUAACAAAAACCCAAAGACUUUGACAGGAGAGGAGUGGUAUGUACAACAAGCAGCAAGGGCUGUCAAUCAGGCUGUUGGACGCGUCAUCAGACAUCGCCAUGACUAUGGAGCAAUUAUUUACUGUGACGAAAGGUUUGUGUGGCCAAAUUACCAAUCCCAGAUGUCCUACUGGCUCAAACCUUAUAUAAAGUGCUACUCUAAGUAUGGGGAAGUAGUUCAAACAUUGACAAGAUUUUUCCGGGAUAAAGUUUGUGUAGACCCAAAAGAGAUGGACUGUAAUGAUAGCGUUACACCGCCUGCAGACAAAUGUCUGCCGCAGGAGAUUCUAUCUGACUCGCCUGCCACAGCAGUAAAUGAGCACCGGGGAACUACAGCAUCAUUGAAUGCAACCACCAGAAAAAACAACUAUAUGAAGUUUACCCAGAUCACUCCUGCCAAUCGCACUACCCUUCCUAUGAAACAUGGCUGUUCCACUUCUUCACAGCUCGCAUCCUCAAGGGGCCAAUUUUCUCAGGAUUCUCAGGUUGUUGAUUUGACCGAUAAUGCGACCAUGCAUGGACAAUUGAAGGAACAUACCUUAAAGUCUAUGAGGCUUAAGAAGGCUAAAAUAGCAGAUGUCUCUUCACAAUUGAAACAUAAUGUUGAGUCGAGAGCUUUGACUGGAAACCGAGGUCAACAAUCUACACCUCCAUCAAAAAGAAGUACCAUUGAACAAGCAUGUGAAAAGAAUGAGGCUAUUCAAGAAAGAUGUGGAGGCCAGGAAUCUACUACUGGACCGGCCUUCUUGAAGCUGGCUCGAGAAAAGCUCAGUACUGCAGAGUAUGGAGAGUUUGUUGAAUUUAUGAAGGCCUUAAAAUUGAAAACCAUGCACAUCAAAGACUCACUAGAAGCAAUAGCGAAACUGUUUUCUUCUCCAGGGCGACUCACACUUCUUGAAGGGUUCAGGGUCUUCGUUUCUAAGAAUCAUCUUCCAUUAUAUGAGCAGCUUGUUCGAAAAUAUACCAUGGCUAAUACAUAA